rnacentral:rRNA from 1 species
UGGGGAAGUCUUGCGCAAUGGGCGAAGACCUGACGCAGCAACGCCGCGUGGGGACGGAAGGCGCUCGGGUUGUAAACCCCUUACAGCAGGGACGCGGUACCUGCAGAAGAAGCCCCGGCCAACUACGUGCCAGCAGCCGCGGUAACACGUAGGGGCGAAGCGUUGUCCGGAAUUAUUGGGCGUAAAGAGCUCGUAGGCGGCUCGGUAAGUCAGGUGUGAAAUUCCAGGGCUCAACCCUGGAACGCCACCUGAUACUGCCGGGCUAGAGUCCGGUAGGGGAGCGUGGAAUUCCUAGUGUAGCGGUGAAAUGCGCAGAUAUUAGGAGGAACACCAGCGGCGAAGGCGGCGCUCUGGGCCGGAACUGACGCUGAGGAGCGAAAGCGUGGGA